rnacentral:rRNA from 1 species
GACUAACGCUGGCGGCGCGCCUAACACAUGCAAGUCGAACGGACGUAGCAAUACGUGAGUGGCGGACGGGUGAGUAACGCGUGGGAACCUGCCCGGAAGUGAGGAAUAACCGAGGGAAACUUCGGCUAAUACCGCAUAUGCCCUGAGGGGCAAAGGCUUCGGCCGCUUCCGGAGGGGCCCGCGUCCGAUUAGCUAGUUGGUGGGGUAACGGCCUACCAAGGCAGUGAUCGGUAGCUGGUCUGAGAGGACGAUCAGCCACACUGGGACUGAGACACGGCCCAGACUCCUACGGGAGGCAGCAGUGGGGAAUAUUGGACAAUGGGGGAAACCCUGAUCCAGCGAUGCCGCGUGAGUGAUGAAGGCCUUAGGGUUGUAAAGCUCUUUCGCCCACGACGAUGAUGACGGUAGUGGGAGAAGAAGCCCCGGCUAACUCCGUGCCAGCCGCCGCCGUAAG